AGUGAGGAUAUGCGGGUUGCUAGGAAGUUGAAGUCGCGCAAAGUCAAUGGCAAUGAAGCUGAUUGCUUUAGAACUCCACAUCGGCUUCACCUGCUGACUAGGAAAUGACCGUCUUACUCCAGUACUCAAGCAAGACCGUGUGGGAGAUGUAGACGUUUUCUCGCUAAAGUCUGGGAGUUUAAUUUUCUCGGGGCUGGAGCUGCUGUUCAAUCUUCUUUUUAAUUUGGGGACUCAGAAGUUUAUUCGUCAAAUAUCAGGCUUUUACAACAGCUUGUCUUACAAAGUGCCAACGAAAAAAAAGUAUGGUCUCCUGAGGCUAGGGGCAUUUUGUUUUAGAGAACAGUUUGAGAUUUAAGAAGCACAAAGGAAAAUCUCUCCCAGUUUACUUUUGAAUUCAAUAAAGUCACCUAAAGUCUUUUUAAACAAAAGACCAAAAGAUUUAUUUCACGAACGUUACCUACAAGGUGAAGUUAUCAGUGCAUCCUAGCUGUGUCAUUUGAAUCCUAUGUGAUUAUGUACAAAAAGUGUCUGAUAAGCGAGCUGUCCCUGGUGUGGACUUGUUCUUCCGUUGGACUGUCUGUGGUCAGCUCGAACCCACGGCCUGGACAAGGUCUGCUUAAUAAAUUGGUUAAGCACUUUGGGGAUUUUCCACAACUCCAUUUCGUCCGCUCGGAGAAGCUAGGAAAUCGACUUCUGAGCGAACAUAAGGCAUUCUUAGCUGGAUUUUAUUUUUGGAGGUGUGAGUUAUCAGUUGGGUGUUUGUAUGCAAUUGUUGGCUUCAUUCGAAGUGCAGGACCAUCCGUGUACAGAUUAUUUAGAUUCAAGUUCGGAAAAUGACCUUCAUUCCAACGUUUCUGAAGAUAUAUCGAAUAUCAUUUCCAAGAUUGAAGAACUGGAAAAGAGGAAAAAUAAAUUAGAAGAGAACUUCCAAGUGAUAAGAAAAACUCACUAUUCCCAUUAAGAAAUACACUGUCUUAGCUACCUUCUUUUACUACACCUCUUUAAGGCCUUAUUAUAGACCAAAAAGCAUAUUUAGAAAUUUCGUACAACUCAAACUUAUGGUUAUCUGAAAGAAUAUAUUUACACAAUUUAUAAUGUAUUAAAAAUCUUAUAUCUGGAAAUUUUUUGUCAUCUUACAACUUAUUGUCCUAUCGCUCUAUCCAAUGUUGCAAGGUUAUUCUUGUCUUCCCAAUCAUUCUGUUUUUGGCUUCUCAAAAUUUCACACAUUGCUCUGUUGAUUCCUUAAAUUACAUUAAAAUUGAAAACUUAUCUAGAA